rnacentral:lncRNA from 1 species
GGGGGUUUGGGGGUUUUGGGAUAGUUUUAAUUUUUCACGAUUUGGGGGUUUUAUUUUUUUAAUUUAAAAUAUCUUUUAAAUAUCUUUUAAUAAAUGAAGUUAAUAAAUAUUUUUAAUUUAAAAUAUCUUUUUAAAUAUCUUUCUAAUUUAAUAAAUAUUUUUUAUAUUUAAAUUAUUCACUAAAUUAAAAAGAAGUUAUUUGGAAUUUAUAACUUUCAAAUAACAUUUUAAUUUAAUUUUUCACUUUAAAAUUUAAAAUAUAAAAAAAAACUUUAUUUUAUAACUUCUUUAAUUUUUUUUAAUUUAAAAUAAACUUAUUUUAUAACUUUUAAAAUAUCUAAUUUAUUAAAUUUAAUUUUAGAAUUUAAA